CCAGAGCAAGGUGAGUGGCAGAGACUCACCCCAACUUGCCCAGUGGGAACCAUUUGGAGCUACUUUCAGGAUCCACUGAAAGUUUCUGGACUGCAGAGCAGGAACUGGAGAAUGGUGAUGAACUUAUGCCUCCAGGCACAGAAAACUGUCACCCUGACAAAAGCCAGUUCUAACAGAUGCUAGGUCAAUAAAGCUGUCAGAAAUCAAUCAA